UAGAGAUCCAUGCCUGGCUAAGGUCCUUACAGGCCUUUUAGAGGUGCCAAGUGUCUCACUGAUUCACUUCUGCUAAAACUUGGUCUGCUCAACAUGAACUUGAAAAGAGUAAUCAGUUUUGCAGUUGUUGAUUGUGCAUCUACUCAAUUCCUCUAUUUAAGAGUGCUGUGAAAGCUGUGUAAGUGAAAUAAACUCUGUUCCCAUAGCAACACAUACCGACCAGAAGAACUUCCAGGUUAUGUAGAAUCCUUAAAUGCAACAUAUUAAAAACAAGAAAGAUUGCUUUUCAGUUGUGAAUGUGGAGACUCAGACAGUCCAUCUAUAAAUGCUGCUGCUUCCAUUUGAUCUUUGCCCUUAUGUGAUUUUCUUGGCAAAAGUGUGGAAUCACGAAAUUUGUCUGACCUCACUGCUGAGUUUGCCAAGCAGCUGAGGUUAUGGCAGUGGCAGUGCAUGUGACUCAGUGAAGCCACUGUAUGCACCAUAUAUUUUAAUAUUAACAUCCUGGCAAGAGAAUUUCUAUGGAGAAUUAGAAAAAGUCUGUUUUCUUUCCCAGUAAGUUGCACUUAGCCUUUCAAUUUAUCUGUCAAGAGGCCAUGCCUUGAAAUUCAAGGGAAGAGUAAAGUGAUCACUUCUAGCUUUUAUAUUCAUGCUCUUUGAAGGACUGAGUAAACAAGUCCUUGUUGAAAGGUGAUCUCAAAGUGCUUAUGAGUAGUAGGCCUUGCUGGCAAAUGGAAGAGAGUUGCACAUCUGCCAGUCUUGUGCAGCAAACCAAGAAAGGUGGACCUUUAUCCUUGCUUACGUGCAACUUGACAGAACGCGUCCGCUGUGAAUGAACCUUGAUGGAGCCAGAAGGCAAAGGACUGAAAGGGCUCUUAUUUGAAAGUAACAUGAAGCCAGGUCUUCAGGGCCACUGACAGGCAAGGCACCGCGUUUGCUGAAGGCACCAAAUUCUCUUCUCUUCUGAGCUCUUGCAUGUUCUUGAGCAAGCUGUCUGCCUGCUGCCAUUUUACUGACCUGCAGUGUAGGUCUCACAUGUACUUUUUACAUGUAGUUUCCAGUAAUAGUAAACAUAGAUAUGCGAAGACAUUGAAUAUUUUUCUCUAUGCAAAAUAGCUGGAAUCUUCUUAAUUUGCAAAGUAUUUUGUUCUUUACUGCUUGUAUGUGCAUUUUGGUGUUGAAGAAUUAAGAUGUACUGUAGAGUUCCUGAGGAAUGCUUGUAAUUAACAGUUUGACUUUAAAUCACAGCGUGCUGGGCAUAAUUAGCACUCAAUAUUUCUGUAUGAUUAAAAAUAGAAAACAAAACUAAAGAUUUUUAAUGUUUUUAGCAUUGAAUCCCCUGGUUUAAAGAACUGAAAUAUUGUCUUUUGGCUGGAUAACUGAUCUGUACAAGCGGUGUGGUUGUAAGCAUCUGCAGUUCUGUAGCAAUGUGUAGCAUGCUGCAGAACAGUCAAGUUAGAGCUUUCUUGAUAGCUUUUCAAUAAAGGGGAGUCUAAAGAAAUCAGUAUAUUUUCCUGCUCAAGUGGUGGAUAUAAUCAGGUCAAAAUGUAGAGGAAAAGGAAAUCAUCUUGACUGUGAAUAGUUAAUCUCUUUUACCAUGUUUUCUCAAAGAAAAUGAGUUCAGCGUAAUAAUAUUGUUAUUUCUUUGAGGCAUAAGAAAUAGUACUAUAUAGCAAAAAGAAAUCUUGGUCUGGAUAUUUAAGAUCAAUUUAUCAGAAAAAAAACUGGUGGAGGGCUGGGUGGGCUGCCUAUCCUUGCUUAACCUGCAUGUGCUGUAGAUUAGUACCCCAAAUUCAGCACUUCUAUUAACAUGUUCCUUUUUCAUUUAAAAAACAAUAGACAGGAGCUUGGUUUGCUCUUACUGAAUCUCUUCCUGUUCAGCUCUUUUUUGCUGUUUACUGGGCUGUUCAGAGGCACUGAAAAAAUGAAGCCAGUGAGAUACAUUUGAAUCAGUAGAUAUGACUCAAAUAUUCCAGUAUUUUCAGAGAUAUUCUUAAAUACCUGGCUGUGUGCUACUGCUUUUUGCUCUGAGGCAUAAAUCGAUUACUGCAGAAAUCAGGAGAGUGUUCUCUUUAGAAUCUCUGCCCACUGCUGUAGGGAAAUGAACUGGACAGACAUAAUAUGGCAGAUAAUUUUUUUUACUCUAAUUUUUCUGUUAAUGUAAAGUUUAUUCCGAAUGCAAUUACAAAUCAGCAAGUACAUAUUCAGUCUAAUUGCAUUUAUGGGACUAUUUAAUCUUCAUAAAGACAUCAAGUCUGCACAAUGUCUGUGUCGUAAGCAGUGACUCAUCAAGAGGAGGAAAAGACAGAUCUUUCUGGUGCUCUGUAAGAGAGUAAAUGGGUCUAACGAGGUAGUGGAUCUUUAAUUUUAAAAUUAAUCUCCUUAGCAGAGUAUCUUAAAAACCACUGCUUCAUUCUGACAUUAGAUUGGAAAUAAUAUCUAAUAAUUUAUUAUCAAAAUAUUUGGAAAAGUUUUGUUUGUCAUAUCGCUGAACUUCAGGGCUUUUUCAAGCAGUCUUACAGUAUGUACUUGUUUUUCCUGUAACUAAAUAUAUUUUGAGAGAAGAGGAUGUGUGUGUAAAGGAGAAGAAUAAACAUCUUGCUGCAGCUAAUAUAGCAUGAUGUAUAACAAAUUGUUUUUACAAUUUCAUGUUAGUAUUUAUAAAGACGUCUCUUAUCACUAAGACGUACCAAGAAAAACCUCAUACUGAUUAUGAAUCUUCCUUGAUUCAUGAUGAGAAAACUGCAAGAUGCUUCCAAACAAGCUUGAAGCUAGUUCUGUUGGGU